rnacentral:rRNA from 1 species
AACGAACGCUGGCGGCAGGCUUAACACAUGCAAGUCGAGCGCCCCGCAAGGGGAGCGGCAGACGGGUGAGUAACGCGUGGGAACGUACCCUUUACUACGGAACAACUCCGGGAAACUAGAGCUAAUACCGUAUGUGCCCUUUGGGGGAAAGAUUUAUCGGUAAAGGAUCGGCCCGCGUUGGAUUAGCUAGUUGGUGGGGUAAAGGCCUACCAAGGCGACGAUCCAUAGCUGGUCUGAGAGGAUGAUCAGCCACAUUGGGACUGAGACACGGCCCAAACUCCUACGGGAGGCAGCAGUGGGGAAUAUUGGACAAUGGGCGCAAGCCUGAUCCAGCCAUGCCGCGUGAAUGAUGAAGGCCUUAGGGUUGUAAAGUUCUUUCACCGGAGAAGAUAAUGACGGUAUCCGGAGAAGAAGCCCCGGCUAACUUCGUGCCAGCCGCCGCAGUAA